GAACGCUAGCGGCAGGCCUAAUACAUGCAAGUCAAGGGGAUAGCAAUAUCACCGGCGGACGGGUGCGUAACGCGUACACAACGUGCCCAAGGGCGGAGGAAAGCGGCGGGAAACUGCCGGUAAUACUCCAUGGUGUUGUUGAGUGGCAUCACUUAACAACUAAAGUACAAGCGCCCUUGGAUCGGUGUGCGUUCGAUUAGCUAGUUGGCGGGGUAACGGCCCACCAAGGCUUCGAUCGAUAGGGGGUGUGAGAGCAUGACCCCCCACACGGGUACUGAGACACGGACCCGACUCCUACGGGAGGCAGCAGUAAGGAAUAUUGGACAAUGGGCGGAAGCCUGAUCCAGCCAUGCCGCGUGAAGGACGAAGGCGCUCAGCGUUGUAAACUUCUUUUGGAUGGGAACAAUAACUCCGACUUGUCGGAACUUGAGGGUACCAUCAGAAUAAGCACCGGCUAACUCCGUG
rnacentral:rRNA from 1 species